rnacentral:tRNA from 1 species
AAUAGGAUGACCGAAGUUUAGGUUGUAAAUUGUAAAUUUAUAUAUGGAUUAUUAAUCCUUCUAUUA